AUAUUUUAUUAAUUCCAUGGGAAAAUUAGGGCCUCAACUCAAAUUCAGAGAAACCCUGGAAUUAAAAAUGGGCAAUGCUGAGCCAAAUCCUUAGCUUUAAAAUUGUAUUGGUUUAAAAACUAAUUGUAUUGGUUUAAAAACUAAUUGUAUUGGUUUAAAAUUCUUAGAAUGACCGAUGAUGAUCGAACUUGGAUGUAUAACCGGC
rnacentral:ncRNA from 1 species